rnacentral:rRNA from 1 species
UACAGAGGUCUCAAGCGUUAAUCGGAAUCACUGGGCUUAAAGGGUGCGUAGGCGGACUCGCAAGUGCUUUGUGAAAUUCCACGGCUCAACCGUGGAACGGCUUGGCAGACUGCGGGUCUCGAGGUUGGUAGGGGCCGCCGGAACCCUAGGUGGAGCGGUGAAAUGCGCAGAUAUCAGGAGGAACACCGGUGGCGAAGGCGGGUCUCUGGGCCGUAACUGACGCUGAGGAGCGAAAGCAUGGGGAGCGAACAGG